AUAGGGAUAUAUACCAAAAUUUGAAGGACACAGAGAAGAUUAUCAUGACUUCUAUGCAAGGAUGACAUGCAAAUUUCUGAAGCAUUCUGUAUUAUU
rnacentral:snRNA from 1 species